rnacentral:rRNA from 1 species
AUUCCAGCUCCAAUAGUGUAUAUUAAAGUUGUUGCAGUUAAAAAGCUCGUAGUUGGAUUUCUGGCGGGAGCGAUCGGUCCUUCACUCAGUGUUGGAACCUGAUUGUCUCCUGCCAUCCAUGGAGAAAACUUAUCUGGCAUUAAGUUGUCGGGUAGGCAAUCUCCAUCUUUUACUGUGAAAAAAUUAGAGUGUUCAAAGCAGGCUUAUGCCGUUGAAUAUAUUAGCAUGGAAUAAUAAGAUAGGACUAUGGUACUAUUUUGUUGGUUUGUGCACCAUGGUAAUGAUUAAUAGGGACAAUUGGGGGCAUCCGUAUUUCGUUGUCAGAGGUGAAAUUCUUGGAUUUGCGAAAGACGAACAACUGCGAAAGCAUUUGCCAGGGAUGUUUUCAUCG